UUAUGGCCACAUCACGUUGAAACACUGGUUCUACAACGAUCACCGAAGUUAAGCAUCGUCGACACUAGUCUGUACUGAGAUGGGUGACCGCUCGAGAAUACCAGGUGCUGUAAG